rnacentral:rRNA from 1 species
UACGAAGGGGGCUAGCGUUGUUCGGAAUUACUGGGCGUAAAGCGUGCGCAGGCGGCUUCUCAAGUCAGGGGUGAAAGCCCAGAGCUCAACUCUGGAAUUGCCUUUGAGACUGAGUGGCUUGAGUACGAGAGAGGUGAGUGGAAUUCCCAGUGUAGAGGUGAAAUUCGUAGAUAUUGGGAAGAACACCGGUGGCGAAGGCGGCUCACUGGCUCGGUACUGACGCUGAGAAGGCGAAAAGCAUGGGGAGCGAACAGG